ACGAUAUAUUUCAUGAGGUUCGAAUGAUAAAUGAUGCCGAAAAUGGAGACGCAAAACAAAGUUGUGUAAUGAAAAUAGUUGAAGUCAACCAAACUCCCCAUCUAUGCACUUUCGCCGACAGAGACAUUGCAAUUGGCGAGGAACUCUGAUAUGAUUAUGGAGUACCAACACUUCCAUGGAGAAAGGCAACACAAUGACUACUAGAUCUACAGACAGCCAGGAACCAGGACAAACAACAUCCAUGCACACGGAAGAAGUCAAUGAGACGAAAUGUACGGAACAAAAAUGGGCAACACAAUGACUACUAGAUCUACAGACAGCCAGGAACCAGGACAAACAACAUCCGUACACACGGAAGAAGUCGAUGAGACGAAAAGGGUACUUCAAAUACCAGGAGAACAAAACAAGCAGCCAAAAAGCAAUGGAGUGAAAACGAAAAAGGAGCUGUUCACAGACACUUUGAUCGUUUUUUGAUAAUGGGUAAAUCACCAGGGAAGAAAGAAAUACUUGCAUGUAUUGAAAGUGAGAAUGACCUUCACUACCGAAGUUGGAAAAAUGUCAAAGACUUUUGCAGAAAUUUAAUUCAAACAAAAAAGCGACGGGGACUUUUAACUUAAAAAA